AUACGGAGGGUGCAAGCGUUACUCGGAAUCACUGGGCGUAAAGCGCGCGCAGGCGGGCUGAUAAGUUGGAUGUGAAGGCCUACGGCUCAACCGUAGAACUGCAUCCAAAACUGUCAGUCUAGAGUCUGGGAGGGGAAGAUGGAAUUAGUUGUGUAGGGGUAAAAUCCGUAGAGAUAACUAGGAAUACCAAAAGCGAAGGCGAUCUUCUGGAACAGUACUGACGCUGAGGCGCGAAAGCGUGGGGAGCAAACAGGAUUAGAUACCCUAGUAGUCC
rnacentral:rRNA from 1 species